rnacentral:rRNA from 1 species
UUAAGCGAAUAAGCGUACACGGUGGAUGCCUAGGCAAUCAGAGGCGAUGAAGGACGUGCUAAUCUGCGAAAAGCGUCGGUAAGGUGAUAUGAACCGUUAUACCCGACGAUAUCCGAAUGGGGAAACCCAGUAUCCAAUGGAUACUAUCAUUAACUGAAUCCAUAGGUUAAUGAGGCGAACCGGGAGAACUGAAACAUCUCAGUACCCCGAGGAAAAGAAAUCAACCGAGAUUCCCCUAGUAGCGGCGAGCGAACGGGGAGCAGCCCAGAGUCUUAAUCAAUAGCAGUGUCAGGAGAACGGUCUGGAAAGUCCGGCAGUAAAGGGUGAUAGCCCCGUAUCUGAAGAUGUUGUUAUUGUGAACUCGACGAGUAGGGCGGGACACGUGUUAUCCUGUCUGAAUAUGGGGGGACCAUCCUCCAAGGCUAAAUACUCCUGAUUGACCGAUAGUGAACCAGUACCGUGAGGGAAAGGCGAAAAGAACCCCGGCGAGGGGAGUGAAAAAGAACCUGAAACCGUGUACGUACAAGCAGUAGGAGCCUCUUUAUGGGGUGACUGCGUACCUUUUGUAUAAUGGGUCAGCGACUUAUAUUCUGUAGCAAGGUUAACCGUAUAGGGGAGCCGUAGGGAAACCGAGUCUUAACUGGGCGAAUGAGUUGCAGGGUAUAGACCCGAAACCCGGUGAUCUAUCCAUGGGCAGGUUGAAGGUUGGGUAACACUAACUGGAGGACCGAACCGACUAAUGUUGAAAAAUUAGCGGAUGACUUGUGGAUGGGGGUGAAAGGCCAAUCAAACCGGGAGAUAGCUGGUUCUCCCCGAAAGCUAUUUAGGUAGCGCCUCGUGAACUCAUCUUCGGGGGUAGAGCACUGUUUCGACUAGGGGGUCAUCCCGACUUACCAACUCGAUGCAAACUGCGAAUACCGAAGAAUGUUAUCACGGGAGACACACGGCGGGUGCUAACGUCCGUCGUGAAGAGGGAAACAACCCAGACCGCCAGCUAAGGUCCCAAAGUCAUGGUUAAGUGGGAAACGAAGUGGGAAGGCUCAGACAGCCAGGAUGUUGGCUUAGAAGCAGCCAUCAUUUAAAGAAAGCGUAAUAGCUCACUGGUCGAGUCGGCCCGCGCGGAAGAUGUAACGGGGCUAAACCAUGCACCGAAGCUGCGGCAGCGACACAAAGUGUUGUUGGGUAGGGGAGCGUUCUGUAAGCCUGCGAAGGUGUACUGUGAGGUAUGCUGGAGGUAUCAGAAGUGCGAAUGCUGACAUAAGUAACGAUAAUGCGGGUGAAAAACCCGCACGCCGGAAGACCAAGGGUUCCUGUCCAACGUUAAUCGGGGCAGGGUGAGUCGACCCCUAAGGCGAGGCUGAAAAGCGUAGUCGAUGGGAAACGGGUUAAUAUUCCCGUACUGGUGGUAACUGCGAUGGGGGAACGGAGAAGGCUAGGUUGUCCGGGCGACGGUCGUCCCGGUUCAAGCAGGUAGGCAGAGUGAUUAGGCAAAUCCGGUCACUUAAUGCUGAGAUGUGAUGACGAACCACUAAGGUGGUGAAGCAAUUGAUGCCACGCUUCCAGGAAAAGCCUCUAAGCUUCAGGUUACCAACAAUCGUACCCCAAACCGACACAGGUGGUCAGGUAGAGAAUACUCAGGCGCUUGAGAGAACUCGGGUGAAGGAACUAGGCAAAAUGGUGCCGUAACUUCGGGAGAAGGCACGCUGGCGGUAGGUAAAGUCCCUCGCGGACGGCGCUGAAGCCAGUCGAAGAUACCAGCUGGCUGCAACUGUUUAUUAAAAACACAGCACUGUGCAAACACGAAAGUGGACGUAUACGGUGUGACGCCUGCCCGGUGCUGGAAGGUUAAUUGAUGGGGUCAGCCGUAAGGCGAAGCUCCUGAUCGAAGCCCCAGUAAACGGCGGCCGUAACUAUAACGGUCCUAAGGUAGCGAAAUUCCUUGUCGGGUAAGUUCCGACCUGCACGAAUGGCGUAAUGAUGGCCAGGCUGUCUCCACCCGAGACUCAGUGAAAUUGAACUCGCUGUGAAGAUGCAGUGUACCCGCGGCAAGACGGAAAGACCCCGUGAACCUUUACUAUAGCUUGACACUGAACAUUGAGCCUUGAUGUGUAGGAUAGGUGGGAGGCUUUGAAGUGUGGACGCCAGUCUGCAUGGAGCCAACCUUGAAAUACCACCCUUUAACGUUUGAUGUUCUAACCUAGGCCCAUAAACUGGGUCGGGGACCGUGUCUGGUGGGUAGUUUGACUGGGGCGGUCUCCUCCUAAAGAGUAACGGAGGAGCACGAAGGUUGGCUAAGCAUGGUCGGACAUCAUGCGGUUAGUGCAAAGGCAUAAGCCAGCUUGACUGCGAGAGUGACGGCUCGAGCAGGUACGAAAGUAGGUCUUAGUGAUCCGGUGGUUCUGAAUGGAAGGGCCAUCGCUCAACGGAUAAAAGGUACUCCGGGGAUAACAGGCUGAUACCGCCCAAGAGUUCAUAUCGACGGCGGUGUUUGGCACCUCGAUGUCGGCUCAUCACAUCCUGGGGCUGAAGUAGGUCCCAAGGGUAUGGCUGUUCGCCAUUUAAAGUGGUACGCGAGCUGGGUUUAGAACGUCGUGAGACAGUUCGGUCCCUAUCUGCCGUGGGCGUUGGAAGAUUGAGAGGGGUUGCUCCUAGUACGAGAGGACCGGAGUGAACGCACCACUGGUGUUCGGGUUGUCAUGCCAAUGGCAUUGCCCGGUAGCUAAGUGCGGAAGAGAUAACCGCUGAAAGCAUCUAAGCGGGAAACUUGCCUCGAGAUGAGUCUUCCCUGUCGCUUUAAGCGACCUAAAGGAACGUUUAAGACUAAGACGUUGAUAGGCUGGGUGUGUAAGCGUAGCGAUACGUUGAGCUAACCAGUACUAAUGAACCGUGAGGCUUAACCUG